rnacentral:misc_RNA from 1 species
AGAUUUACUAGCAAGAAAAUCUAUCACUUCUUGGUUCCAUUUGUUUGGAAUUUGGAAAGGAAAUUUUACGGGGAAAAGAAUAAAAUGCAGACAGACAAAGAUCAAAAGAGGUCACUUUCAAGCAUCCCAUCCAAUGGAAGGCAAAAUAGAAAAGGCCAUUUCAAUGAAACUUGCUACGAUUGGAGUUUAGAUUUGACAGCCGGGAAAGGAGGCAAUCUGAGUACUGCUUCCUCAGUCUCAAUCGGGUCUGAUCUCAGGAUUGGGUCUUGGAGUGGAGGUUUAGUGUCGUCCUGGGCUGGCCUGAAGGGAGGUUUCUUCGGCUUAGUGACACUGCUAUUGCUGGUUUUCAUGGUUGGAGAUGAUAUCUCUGAGCCUUUCAUUGUUUGCUUUCUUAACCUCUUCCCUGCCUCACACCAUCAAUAGAGUUCAAUGCUGCCGUUGUAGUUCUUGAAGCCAAAUAUUUACAUCUUCUCCUUAUCUUCCCCCUUCCUAUUUACCUGUCGUCCUAGCUAUGCUCCAACAUAAAUCGUUUCUGAAUCUGCGAAUGAGGUAGGAAGGCUCGUCUGAGAGUAAUGAGACAGCGUAUGAACGGUGAACAGCGGAGGCAAACAGACGUCGAGAGUGGGAAAAAGAGAGAAACGAUGACAGAGCUUCGAGGAUGAACCAAAACCUCUUCCAAACAGAUGUUCAGAACGC